rnacentral:rRNA from 1 species
UACGUAGGGUGCAAGCGUUGUCCGGAAUUAUUGGGCGUAAAGAGCUCGUAGGCGGUCUGUCGCGUCGGAUGUGAAAUCCAGGGCUCAACCCUGGACCUGCAUUCGAUACGGGCAGACUAGAGUUCGGCAGGGGAGACUGGAAUUCGUGGUGUAGCGGUGAAAUGCGCAGAUAUCAGGAGGAACACCGGUGGCGAAGGCGGGUCUCUGGGCCGAUACUGACGCUGAGGAGCGAAAGCGUGGGGGAGCGAACAGG